rnacentral:rRNA from 1 species
GACGAACGCUGGCGGCGUGCUUAACACAUGCAAGUCGAACGGAAAGGCCCUGCUUUUGUGGGGUGCUCGAGUGGCGAACGGGUGAGUAACACGUGAGUAACCUGCCCUUGACUUUGGGAUAACUUCAGGAAACUGGGGCUAAUACCGGAUAGGAGCUCCUGCUGCAUGGUGGGGGUUGGAAAGUUUCGGCGGUUGGGGAUGGACUCGCGGCUUAUCAGCUUGUUGGUGGGGUAGUGGCUUACCAAGGCUUUGACGGGUAGCCGGCCUGAGAGGGUGACCGGCCACAUUGGGACUGGGAUACGGCCCAGACUCCUACGGGAGGCAGCGGUGGGGAAUAUUGCACAAUGGGCGGAAGCCUGAUGCAGCAACGCCGCGUGCGGGAUGACGGCCUUCGGGUUGUAAACCGCUGUCGCCUGUGACGAAGCGUGAGUGACGGUAAUGGGUAAAGAAGCACCGGCUAACUACGUG